CCUUAAGGACUUUUAGAAUAAAGAUUUGAACUUGUGGUGUUAGUCACAUCCGGGACAUUUGCUCGUGUGCGCGCCUCACGCAUUUGGAAUAUUUUUCACAGAGGCCAUUUUCUUCCCUCUCGAUGCGGAGCAUAUGAGGACGGGAAACAACGAAAUAAAGUGUUUAAUCUUACGCACAAAAUGUGUUUUGUAAUAUAAUAUCGUUUUAUAACGAUAUUAAUGUGCUGUAUGCCGCUAAACCUUUCUCAAAGACAUUUUUUUCUACUCGCGAUGCGGAACAGACGAGAGCUGUGUACUCCUGAACGUCUUCCUAGAGAGAUAACGUUAACGUUAUUUCCUUUCACUCGCGAUGCGGAGCAGACAGGGUAUUUAUCAAGAAAACACCGAAAUCUGAAUUGCUAUGCAGUGUUGACGUGGAGGUCCCUUUUAACAGGGAAACGUAAGAAGUAAGUGUUUUGCCUCAUUUAAAAUAUGUAUUUUAUAACUGUAUGCUUCUAAACCAACAUAUAGUUUCUUACAGAUCUCAUUUGCUUUACAGUGCUAACGUAGAUCAUUUUUAACAGGGAAAGUAAGUGUUUUAUAACGUCAUAUUGAUUUAUAACGAAAUUUAUGUAUUUAAACUGUUUCUCAGAGCAAUAUUUUCUUUCACUCACGAUGCAGCGGACAGAGAAGUUGGUUUUAUCAAAGAAAACACAGAAAAUCUGAAUUGCUAUUUAGUGCUGACGUGGAGGUCGCUUUUAACAGGGAAACACUUGAAAGAGAUAUUUUCUUUCAAUCACAACACAGAGCAGACAGGAAAGUGGGUUAUAUCAAGGAAAUGCCAAAAAUCUGAAUUGCUAUGCAGUGCUGAGGUGGAGGUAAUUUUUAACAGGGAAAGACUAGGAAUAUUAAUUUCUAUGCAGUGCUGACGUGAAGGUCGCUAUAACAGUUUCUACAAUAUUUAAGAUGCUGUGAUGAUGAUACAUCCCGGAACCACUUCUGGCCAAAUUGGUUUCCAACAUAAGGGUGGAAUCAGACCUGGAUAACGCCCAACAUCUGGAACAGACAGACAGACACACACACA